UUACAGAUAAUCUGCUGAGAAGGUGCAAAGGCUUUGGAACAUUUUCACACGCUUAUUGCCGACUUGCUGAGUUUCCAGGGAUGGUGUGGCAAUGACAUUAGCUCAGCGCCACAUUGAAAUAAACGACAAAGGUGGAGCCAGACAUCAUCCCACACCCUGUUUGCCAAGUCACAGUUUUCAACAGCAGUCCAUUAACCCAAAUGGCUGUGGGCACAUCCCAUGGAUUCCACAAAUGGGCCAGACAAUUUCAGGCGUUCAAGAUCACGAGAAUGGGAAAUCAAACUGCGGAAUUGCCGUGUUGCGUUGUGACUUCUAAACAAGAAAAAGUUACAAAAGCUUCACUUUGCUCCGAGUUUUAUCCUUUCUUCCACUCCCUUUAAUAUCUCUCUUUCCUCUGAAUUUAAUUUGACUUUUGAUUACCAAUCAUGCCUUUUCAAUAAGAAUGCCCCUUUGUUUGUUUUAUUAUUCUCCUUUCUUCCCCAUUGUUGGGAUUGAAAGUAAUAACACAUGAGAGAGAUUUUACUAAUGACACUGAUUAGUUACUCUGCAAUGCAAAUGGUCAAUUAAAGAUAAAAUGGGUUGAGUUG